rnacentral:lncRNA from 1 species
GGAGAAAUCAAAAUUUUACAAUUCUAUUUACCUAUUCGAUGGGAUCUCCUAUGAUGUGUAGGGGUGCUGUGCGAUCUUUUUCAUGAUAAUGAAUAAUAAAAAAAUUUAAAUUUAUUUUAGAUCUAAAAUAAUGUAUAUUAGAUCUAAAAUUAGAGUCUUGAUUACUAGAUGAUUGAUUGUAAAAAAUAUUUUAUAAAAUUAAAAAUUA